rnacentral:rRNA from 1 species
AGUUGGUGGAGUGAUUUGUCUGGUUAAUUCCGUUAACGAACGAGACCUUAGCCUGCUAAAUAGUCAUGCGUAAUACCAUUGGUGUGACUUCUUAGAGGGACUUUGUACUAAAUACAAGGAAGUUUGAGGCAAUAACAGGUCU